UACGGAGGGUGCAAGCGUUAUCCGGAUUCACUGGGCUUAAAGGGUGCGUAGGUGGGUCUGUAAGUCAGUGGUGAAAUCUUCGAGCUUAACUCGGAAACUGCCAUUGAUACUAUAGGUCUUGAAUUUUCUGGAGGUAAGCGGAAUAUGUCAUGUAGCGGUGAAAUGCUUAGAUAUGACAUAGAACACCAAUUGCGAAGGCAGCUUACUACGGGAACAUUGACACUGAGGCACGAAAGCGUGGGGAUCAAGCAGG
rnacentral:rRNA from 1 species